rnacentral:rRNA from 1 species
GACUGAGUGGCGGACGGGUGAGUAACGCGUGGGUAACCUGCCUUAUACAGGGGGAUAACAGUUGGAAACGACUGCUAAUACCGCAUAAGCGCACGGUAUCGCAUGAUACAGUGUGAAAAACUCCGGUGGUACAGGAUGGACCCGCGUCUGAUUAGCUGGUUGGUGAGGUAACGGCCCACCAAGGCAACGAUCAGUAGCCGGCCUGAGAGGGUGAACGGCCACAUUGGAACUGAGACACGGCCCAAACUCC